AAGCAUCAGGAUAGUCGGUAAAUAGCUCAUUUCAUCGAGGACUACAAUUGGAUUAGCAUCCUCAAAAUAUGUGGUGAGCCCUCUAACAAGAGUAAAGAGAUUGUGGCCGAAGAUCGGGAAUAGGAUUAUAUCGAACUCCUAGUACUGCAUCAGGAUAGUCGGUAAAUAGCUCAUUUCAUCGAGGACUACAAUUGGAUUGGCAUCCUUAAAAUAUUUGGAAAUAGCUUAAAUUCUUUAGAACAUGAUAUUUGAUAACGGUUGCUCACCGGGAAAAAGAGAAACUGAUAUUAAAGCCUUGCGGGGUUUCGAUUAACAAUUUGGGUGAUGAGUGUCGAUCAGGACAACGCGACGGUUGUCACGGGCUCGAUAGGAGUUCCAGGUCGUGACAAAUGGUCAUCUUGCUCAGUAGCUUAUGAAUUGUUUCGAUUGUAAAGUCUUGGUGAAGAUAUCGGCUACUUGCAAAUUUGUGGAGAUAUAGAAUGGCUCGAUUCUACUACCAACACUUUCUCACGAAUGAAGGGACAAUUCAUUUUAAUGCGCUUUGUUUUCUUAUGAAACACUAGAUUCUUCUUGAUAUGGAUUACAAAUUAACUCUCUGAAUAGAGAUUUAUCGCAUCAACAUGAUUAACCCCAAAAUCUGUCAAUAAGUGUUGUAUCCGUAUUAUCUUGUAGCAUGUAAAUGCCAUUGAACGAUACUCAACUUUAGCUAAACUUCGAGCUACUACAA